GCAGCGGUGGCAAUGAGCUGCGGCCGGAGGGCCGGGACGAGCUGUGCCGGGAGGCCACCACCAGCGACUUGUCCCCAGUGCAGCCGCUGGUGAAGCAGUGCGACAGCAAGUGCCAGGACAGGGACGACAGGCACAGUCCCGGUGCAUGGCCAGUGGACCCCUGGGAGCAGGAAAGCAACGGAGAAUCUGCUCCGGGCCAAGCAAAAGAGGUGUCAGCAUCCAGCACUCCCCACGGGGCAGGAGCUGCUGGAGCUACGCUGCUUUCACCCACUUGGUGGAGCGCAGCUGUGUGAGCUCUCCGCGCAGCUGGAGUUGGAGUCCGAAAUAUCUCUGCAGCUCAAAGCUAGAAAUCAGGAGCUGCGAGAGCUGGCGGCUCUUCUGCCACAUCGCUUGGCGACUCCUGAGGAGGGUCAUGCCACAACAGCGCUGUAUGGAGAAGAGUGGGAGCAGCGAGCGCCAGAAGCAGACGGAGAGAUGCAUGGUCUCACUCCACGUCUGCAGACACAGGCAGCCGCUCAAGCCAGAAGAGAAGAGAUCAAGACCACUGACACCUCUUGGAAAGAACCACUGAUGCAGACAAUUAGAGUUCUGAAACGGGACCUGGAGAGAGCAUGGAGCAUGCAGGAGGAGACCGCACGGCAACUGGCAGAAAUAAAAAGCUCCAAAUAGCAUUAUUUGCCUGACCUGGAGGGAAGAGUCCUUGCGUGCACGCAUGUAGCAUUUAAGGCUUUACCCCGGGUGACUCCACCUGGGACCCUCUCUCAUUUCCCGAGUCCCAGCUCCCAGCCCAUCCCCAUCCUCUGUCUCCACCGGGUACUGGCAAGGGGGCCCCGAAUCCAGACUUCAGCCUCCGACAGAGCACUCGGCGCUCACCCCCUCAGCCCACGGGGAAGCCAAGAAAAGCAUCAGGCCCCUUGAGGCUGCCGUUCCUUGGGCCUCUUCUUAAUCCCCGCUUCAGAAGAAGAGUCUAACCCAAAGGCAAGGCACUGAACAGAUCCCUUUUGACUGCAGACGUGCUCUUAGGGGGUAGCUCUGACACGC